rnacentral:rRNA from 1 species
GAUGAACGCUGGCGGCGUGCCUAAUACAUGCAAGUCGAGCGAACGGACGAGAAGCUUGCUUCUCUGAUGUUAGCGGCGGACGGGUGAGUAACACGUGGAUAACCUACCUAUAAGACUGGGAUAACUUCGGGAAACCGUAGCUAAUACCGGAUAAUAUUUUGAACCGCAUGGUUCAAAAGUGAAAGACGGUCUUGCUGUCACUUAUAGAUGGAUCCGCGCUGCAUUAGCUAGUUGGUAAGGUAACGGCUUACCAAGGCAACGAUGCAUAGCCGACCUGAGAGGGUGAUCGGCCACACUGGAACUGAGACACGGUCCAGACUCCUACGGGAGGCAGCAGUAGGGAAUCUUCCGCAAUGGGCGAAAGCCUGACGGAGCAACGCCGCGUGAGUGAUGAAGGUCUUCGGAUCGUAAAACUCUGUUAUUAGGGAAGAACAGAUGUGUAAGUAACUGUGCACGUCUUGACGGUACCUAAUCAGAAAGCCACGGCUAACUACGUG